AAUGGCGUCGGCAGCUCUCACGCUCGUUUGGAACGACACAGAGAAGAUUAGCCUGGUGCUUGCACAAGGACGGCAUGCAGAUUCACGAAGUGGUCCAUGUUAGG